AACUGAUGCUCGUGGGAUUAUUUGUAUUCAUUUUGCUGCUGGUACAUCAUGCUGAGAUACCUAUAUCAGUGGGAGAAAGCCGAACGGAUCUCAUUCAACCCAAAAUAUCAUAUGCAGACUCCAAAGUUCGAAAGACGCUCAAGAAAAACUAUAAAGUUGAAACUGAAGGAGCUAUAUACAGAACAGAAGAUAUGACCAUGAAACAUCACGAAACGAAGUACAUUAACAGAACGAAUUAUCUAAGUGAAGGAGGUAGGAGACUGAAAGAAUCGAUAUAUUAUGGGAAGGACGACGGAAGUGGUUAUAUCAAAACUAAAUAUGUAAGUACAUGUAUCGCAAUAAAUAUGCAAUAUGACCAAGAUGACCAUUAUCACAUACUUCACUGAAACUGUUGUAUACGCCUGUUUAGAACAAGGCAGUCUGAAAGACAGCUAAAUCCCCCGCCACUGCUAUGGAUAGUGAAAGG
rnacentral:misc_RNA from 1 species